UUGGAGGGCAAGUCUGGUGCCAGCAGCCGCGGUAAUUCCAGCUCCAAUAGCGUAUAUUAAAGUUGUUGCAGUUAAAAAGCUCGUAGUUGAAUUUUGGAUUCUACCAGUUGGUCCAUCUUUUGAUGAGUACUGAUUGUGUGGGGUCUAUCCGCCUGGUGAUACGUAAUGUACUUUAUUGUAUGUUGCGGGUAGUCAGGACCUUUACCUUGAAAAAAUUAGAGUGUUUAAAGCAGGCUUAUGCCGGAAUACAUUAGCAUGGAAUAAUAGAAUAGGACGAUGUUGUUUUAUUUUGUUGGUUUCUAGGACAACCGUAAUGAUUAAUAGGGAUAGUUGGGGGCAUUAGUAUUCAAUUGUCAGAGGUGAAAUUCUUGGAUUUAUUGAAGACUAACUACUGCGAAAGCAUUUGCCAAGGAUGUUUUCAUUAAUCAAGAACGAAAGUUAGGGGAUCGAAGACGAUCAGAUACCGUCGUAGUCUUAACCAUAAACUAUGCCGACUAGGGACCGGGCGAUGUUGUUUCAAUGACUCGCUCGGCACCUUACGGGAAACCAAAG
rnacentral:rRNA from 1 species